UACGAACUGUGCAAACGUUAUUCGGAAUCACUGGGCUUAAAGGGUGCGUAGGCGGCUCGUUAGGUAGGGUGUGAAAGCCCCCGGCUCAACCGGGGAAUUGCGCCCUAAACCGGCGGGCUGGAGUGAGAUAGGGGUGUGUGGAACUUCCGGUGGAGCGGUGAAAUGUGUUGAUAUCGGAAGGAACGCCGGUGGCGAAAGCGACACACUGGGUCUCAACUGACGCUGAGGCACGAAAGCCAGGGGAGCGAACGGG
rnacentral:rRNA from 1 species